CGGAUCCUUCUGCAUUUUGCACAACUCAUGCAAAAUAUUAUUAUUUUAUCAAGCUUCUGACUAAUGCUCUCUCUCUCAAGAAAAAAACACAAAAGAAAAAUAUGACCGGUAAUAAUAGAUCAAGUAUUAUAUGAGUAAUUUUAAUUUUGUUGUAUUGACCACUCCAGUUGUGUAAAUGGAAGACGUCUUUGAGACUUGAAACUGACUAAAGAUCCGCGCGCGGAUCCUAGCUUGAGCACUCCCCAGUCGUGUCUCCAAAUUCUGGGUUCAGGAUCCUUACACGGAAUCAGUCCAGAAUGUUUCCUGCUCCAAGCACCGGAUCCGCCUUUGUAUCUGCUCAAGUGUGAGGAAGGAUCUGCUUAAGUUGAUAAUGCCACCCAGAAUUGGAUCCGCGGAUGGAUUUGCUUCUGUGAAGAGUGAAAUUAUUAGACAAAUUUCUGCACUCAUAGUGAGCUUUUGUGCUACAUUCAUCAACAACUUUGUACUGAAACAAUGGAUCUACCAUAACCAAUAAGCAUUUGCGGCAAAUACUAACCAUCAAAACAUGAUGUAUAAGAACUUAAAGUAAGACAAUGGCAAUUUAACGUUUCAAAGUCGUGGAGCUUCAAGAGAAUAAGGGUCACGAAACCAGUUGCCUCUUACGGGAAAGAAAGGAAUUUCCACAGC
rnacentral:lncRNA from 1 species